GACUUGGGAUCAUUUCCCAGGAUUCGGGAUUUGGGAUCUUCUCGCGAUUUGGGAUUUGGGAUCAUUUCCCAGGAUUCGGGAUCAUUUCCCCUUUUCCCGCAGCCCCCCCAGCGGAGCCGGAAACCUCCGGGAGCAGCCGGACCCCGCCCGUCCCCCCAGCGCCCCCCGGGGACCCCCAAAAACCCCAAAUCCCCCAAGAACCCCAAAAACCCAGAGAAUCCCAAAAACCCCGAGAAUCCCAAAAACCCCGAAAAUCCCAAAAACCCAGAGAAUCCCAAAAACCCCAAAUCCCCUGAGAACCCCAAAUCCCCCAAAAACCCAGAGAAUCCCAAAUCCCCUGAGAACCCCAAAAACCCCAAAUCCCCCAAAACCCCGAGAACCCCAAAAACCCCGAGAACCCCAAAAACCCAGAGAAUCCCAAAUCCCCUGAGAACCCCAAAAACCCCAAAUCCCCCAAAAACCCCGGGGACCCCAAACCCGCCCGGAGCCGCCCGGGGCCCCGCAGGAGCCGCCCCGAGGGGGCCAAUUCCUGAGAGCCCCAAAAUUCGGGAUGGGGAUUUGGGAUCCCAUCCCGGGAACGUUUACAAAUCCCACUUGUGCCAUUUCCCCCUUUUUUUGCCCCUUUUUUCCUCUUUUUUCCCCGUUUUUUUCCUCUUUUUUUUUUCCCUUUUUUCAAUUUUUCCCCCCUUUUUCCCCUCUCUUUUCCAUAUUUUCUCCUCUUUUUUUCCCUCUUUUUUACCCCUUUUUUCCCCUCUUUUUUCCACUUUUUUUCUCCCUCUUUCCCCUCUUUUCCCCACUUUUCCCUUCUUUUUUACCUCUUUAUUUCCAUUUUUCCCAUCAUUUUUUCCCCAUUUUUUUCCCUCUUUCCCCCCCCGUUUUUCCCACUGGGAUUUUUGGGGUUUGGUUUUGUCCCAAUCCCGGAAUUUUCCCCCCAAAUUCCCAAAAUCCCAACCCCGACCUCGCGCUGGCAGCGAGGGAAGAGCCGGGAUGGGAAUGGGGGGAAAAUUUGGGAUUUUGGGGUCUCCCAAAAUCUGGGAGGUCCCUCUGGAAUUUGGGAUUUCCCUUUGGGAAUUUCAGGAUUUCUCUUUGGAAUUUGGGGUUUCCCUUUUGGCAUUUAGGAUUUCCCUCCAGAAUUUGGGAAUUGUCCCUCUGGCAUUUGGGAUUUUCCCUUUGGAAUUCGGGAUUUCCCCCCAAAAUUUGGGAUUUCCUUUUGGGAAUUUGGGGUUUCCCCUUUGGCAUUUGAGAUUUUCCCCCCAGAAUUUGGGAUUUUCCCCUCUGGAAUUUGGGAUUUUCCCCCCAGAAUUUGGGAUUUUCCCUUUGGCAUUUGGGAUUUUCCCCUUUGGAAUUUGGGAUUUGGCAUUUCCCCCCAAAAUUUGGGAUUUUCCCCCCAGAAUUUGGGAUUUUCCCCUUUGGAAUUUGGGAUUUCCCUUUGGGAUUUGUGGGGUCCCCCCUCCCCCCACGACACUCCAGCAUUGUUGGAUUUUCUCUGGAAUUUAUUUCAGGAAUUUCCUCCUCCCUCCCCCACGCCAAACCCCAAUCCCAGCCCCAAAUUUUUCGGGAAUUUUUGGGAAUUUUGGGAGGUUCCCCAAUUUCCCCCCUUUUCUUUUUCCACCUUUUUUCCAAGUUUGGGGUUUUGGUGGGGUUUUUUGGGGUUUUUUGGGGGUUUUUGGGAAUUUUUCCCCUUCAAUGAACGAGAACUUGAGAACAAACCCAGUAAAAACUUUGGAGCUUUAA
rnacentral:lncRNA from 14 species